CUGGGGGCCAGGCGGUGAGUGAAACCGGAUCCCGGGUCAGUGCCGGCCGGCUGUGGUUGUUGACACAGCACCGGUGUGUUGCGGGCUCAUGUCACGAUGCCACAGCUGAAAAUAUCAAACCCACAUUGAUACACAGCCUGGAAGUCUCAACUUUACUCCUGCACAUGCAUGCAUUAUGUAACACGUGUUUAUUUGCUCCUCUGUCUGUUAUGUCCAGCUCCAACACAACCUGUUUGCACUGUAACCUUUCUGUAAAUAGUCCUCUGUGUGUGUGUGUGUGUGUGUCCAUGACAUGGCGAAAACAAAAGGAGGGAAUACAAACACAGACGUUUACUGACAUCCUGUGUCUGAGAGGUGUCACUACAAGCUGUGCAUUUCUUCUGUUUUUGUUUUUGUUUUUUUAGUUAAAAAUAAUUGAAACUAAUGACAAAAAUGGGCCAGGACAAAAUUAGAUUUGGAAACCAUUUCUUUUUUAUUUUGUAAAUGGGUUAAGCACUCAGACUGUACACAACAGAUAUUUUCUGAGUUUGACCCAAUAAAACCAAAAAAAAAAAAAAAAAAAAGAGCAUCCAGAGGAGGGAGCAAGGUGGUCUGCCAACCAGGCUGAGUAAAGCUGGUCUUCUUCUUCCUCUUCCUCCUCUCACAUACUUCACUUCUCUCUGGGCGUUACAUCUAUUAUCUAUUUUAUUAUAAAAGUUUGAUCUCCUGUUUCAGGUGGGACCACCCUGCUUCCUGCCAGUGGUAUCCUCCACUUGUCAAGCAGUCGCUCUUGGACGCGAACACCUCCGGUCGAUUCGGGCUCCUCAAACUGGAUGAGUGCUGUGGUGGAGAAGGGUCUCACCUCGCUGAUGGAAGGAGCUGAUGGCACCUCUGGUUAAGGGAGGAAAUGCGAUCGUGUCUUCAGUGGACAGAGCGGCCUUAACCCUCUCCGUUCCAUUCGUCUCAUCUGCUGGGGGGAUAUGCAGCCUGUUGUAUCAGCUGGUGUGAAAUCCUCGGAGCCGUAAAACAACCAGAGGGAAGGAAUGUAAAUGAGCUGAUGUCGGUUACAUCGCCUUUUUCAUCUACAUGUAUCAUCUAUCUGCACAAACACUGCUCUGUGUAAUCUCUCAUUGUGUUAGAUGUUUUGGUCUAAUGUGUUUUGAAUAUGAGUGAAAAAUCUGUUCCUGAAGCCCGAAGCCGAGUGCGUUCCCCUCAAUCCAAUUUGUGCGCAACAAUGAAAUUUACGUUAACUACUGAUUAUGUUAUUUGUUCUCACUAAACUGAAACGAUCUAAGCGGUUAUAGAAAGCAUACCCGCCUACACGAGACGUCUCAUCAUUAUCGUUCAUCACGUUGAAAAAUCAGACAUAAAUGUGAGACAACAUAGCGCUAUGAA